UUCGGACGCCAUUUUGGAGGAAAGUUUGGAAUUCCUGAUACAUUGGUGGAAAGAAGGAGGAGGGGAGAGCGCCGAGCAAGGGAACUUUGACUUGUGGAAAUAUUGCCGGACCGAGAUAGAUAAAAGCUUGAGAGCGGGAAACGAAUAAUUCAGCACUCAGAAACAAAAAAGAGGAUUUACUCCCUAAAUGCACAGACUGAACUUUGUGGAUUCGUUACUCGCAGUUUCUUCUGCCACUUUGAACUGCACUGCACAUGUUGUCAGAUUUUCAGGCUGUUCAAUGAAUUGCACCGUGCAGAGCUGGGCUUGCUGAGAACCGGUUUGUUGAUGUUUAGUGUAAGAGAAUUGAUUGGAGAUACGAACGUGACACACGGCAGUAGUGUUUCACAUAGCUGUUAGUGGGAAACUGGUGCCGGGAAUCCUGCGCUGUCUCUACUGGCACUAACCUAAAUGAACCCUGUCAGUUAGCCCUGCCAGGGAUACAAGCUGGUCACAUUGGCAUUCACGGCGGGUCAUCUGAAUAGGCUUUAAUCUACCCAAAAAAAUCGGAUUCAUUGCAUGUUUAUAGUCCAGUAAGAAAAAACGGUGCCUUUUGUAGUCUAUUGAACGGGCGGGAGCUAUAGCGCACAUUGCGUUUUUUGAGGAGAGAAGAGACUAGUUUCUGUUCAUGCUAAAACGGUGUAAACUCCUGGCUCUGCCCCUCUGGCAACUGUAGCAAAGGAUAUCUGAAGCAAGGGAGUGUAGGCUACUACACCAAACAUUAGCCUGCACGAAACAGUGCCUGCGUCUACUUUUCCUGCUGCACUUGGGAGCUGUCAUGCCUAUACGAAAGAAAGAUGCUCAAAGAGCUUUACUGCUCAUGGAGGAAUACAAGACGAAACUUGGACAGACCGAAGACAGACAACUCAGACAGUCAUUAGAAAGACUCAUCAACAUCUUUCAGAGCAACCUCUUCCAAGCCUUGAUCGAUAUCCAGGAGUUUUAUGAAGUGACCUUACAGGAAGGCCAGACAUCUGUAGAGCCAGUCAAGCCUGCAGAGCCCCCAGCUCCCCCUGUCACCCUGUGGGACUUCUCCAGCCUUCCCUCCCCCUCUACAGCUGUCACCUCUGACACCCUGCCCAGCAGCCUUACGUCCAGCAUAGAGAAGUACAGGAUUCAGGAUGAGGAUGGUUCUACCCCCCAGCAGGACCAGGGUCAGUCUCAGGCCUGUCCCCAGCACCCCUACCCCAGCCUGGAGGAGAGAGGCAGAGAGCGGGAGCUGCCAGGGAGCCAUCACGGGACCCUCCGCAGCCACCAUGGAGGGGGAACCCUGGAUGGGUACCACCUCGGCAGGGGAGAGAGAGAGGGCAGGGGGGAGGGACGGCCAGAGCUGGUCCAGGUAGCGGAGAAAAACCUGUCUCAGAUAGAGAACGUCCAUGGAUAUGUCUCCCACGCACACAUCUCCCCUAUGAAGGUAGAGUCGUUGGAGUGUAUCUUCGACGCUGGCUCGCCUGUAGGCUAUGAGGACGUUCCUGUUCCUGACUUCUCUACGCUGUAUGCUACCCACCACGCCCUUCUACAGCAGCCAGAUGUGGUGGUCCCGCCCCCCGUACCCAUAAUCCCUGUGAUCCCCAUCCCAGCUGAGACCACUCCUGUCAUCUCUCCACCCUCCUCUCUGCCUGCACCCGCGUCACCCACGUCACAGGCAAACCCACCUCCUGUGGUGGUCAACACAGACAGCUUGGACAGCCCCCCAUACGCGAAUGGAUCUGAAGCUGAUUAUGAAUAUGAUGAGAUCACACUGGAACGGGGUAACUCUGGGUUGGGCUUCAGUAUUGCAGGGGGGACAGAUAACCCCCACAUCGGCGAAGACCCCAGUAUCUUCAUCACCAAGAUUAUCCCUGGGGGAGCUGCAGCUCAGGACGAACGCCUCAGAGUGAAUGACUGCAUCCUGAGAGUGAACGAGGCCGACGUGAGGGAUGUGACCCACAGUAAGGCUGUGGAGGCCCUGAAGGAGGCCGGCUGUAUCGUCAGGCUCUACAUCCGCAGGAGAAAAGCCCUCUCGGAGAAGAUCCUGGAGCUCAAACUAGUCAAAGGUCCCAAAGGGCUAGGAUUCAGUAUUGCGGGGGGAGUAGGGAACCAGCACAUUCCAGGAGACAACAGCAUCUAUGUCACCAAGGUCAUCGAGGGAGGGGCUGCACACAAAGACCAGAGGCUGCAGAUAGGAGACAAACUAUUGGCUGUAAACAGCGCUUGCCUUGAGGAAGUGAGUCACGAGGAUGCCGUGGCAGCCUUGAAAAACACCCCUGAUGUGGUUUACUUGAAAGUGGCGAAGCCCACCAGUGUCUUCAUGAACGACAGUUUCGCUCCCCCCGACAUCACCAACUCGUAUUCCCCUCACAUGGACAACCAUAUCAGCCCUUCCAACUACCUGAGCCGGCCCCAUACCCCCGCCACGCCUGGACACUACUCCCCCGUCCCCAAGAGCAUGCUAGGAGACGACGAGGUGACAAGGGAGCCCAGGAAGGUGGUGUUGCACCGUGGUUCUACAGGCCUGGGUUUUAACAUCGUAGGAGGAGAGGAUGGAGAGGGAAUCUUUAUCUCCUUCAUCCUGGCUGGUGGACCUGCUGACCUCUGUGGAGAGCUGCGCAAAGGAGACCGCAUCAUCUCAGUGAACGGGGUCGACCUGCGCAGUGCAACCCAUGAGCAGGCUGCAGCAGCUCUGAAGAAUGCUGGACAGACUGUUACCAUCACAGGCCAGUACAGGCCAGAGGAGUACAGUCGGUUUGAAGCCAAAAUCCUUUCCCCCCCCUCCUGUUUUCCAGAGUACAGUCGGUUUGAAGCCAAGAUCCAUGAUCUACGUGAGCAGAUGAUGAACAGCAGUAUCAGCAGUGGCUCUCUGCGGACCAGCCAGAAGAGAACUCUCUAUGUCAGGGCUCUGUUUGACUAUGACCGGGCGAAGGACUCGGGGCUGCCCAGCCAGGGGCUCAACUUCCACUUUGGAGACAUCCUGCAUGUGGUGAAUGCCUCCGAUGACGAGUGGUGGCAGGCACGGCAGGUGACCCAUGAAGGAGAGGUGGAAGAGGUUGGAGUCAUCCCCAGCAGGAGGAGGGUCGAAAAGAAAGAGAGAGCGCGGUUAAAGACAGUCAAAUUCAACGCCCGGUCUCAAGACAAAGUGCAGUCAUUCAAUGACAAGCGUAAAAAGAACCUAUUUUCCCGAAAGUUCCCUUUCUACAACAAGAGCAAGGAGCACAGCGAACAGGAAACGAGCGAUGCUGACCAGCAUGUUACCUCUAACGCCAGUGAUAGUGAAAGUAGUUACCGUGGCCAGGAGGAGUACGUCCUGUCCUACGAGCCAAUCACACAGCAGGAAGUGAACUACACACGUCCUGUCAUCAUCCUGGGGCCAAUGAAAGACCGCAUCAAUGAUGACCUCAUCUCAGAGUUCCCCGACAAAUUUGGGUCCUGUGUCCCACACACGACGAGACCGAAGCGGGAUUACGAGGUGGAUGCCAGAGACUACCAUUUUGUGGUGUCCAGGGAGCAGAUGGAGAAAGAUAUCCAGGACCACAAGUUCAUUGAGGCGGGCCAGUACAACAACCACCUAUAUGGAACCAGCGUCCAGUCUGUACGGGAGGUCGCUGAGAAGGGGAAGCAUUGCAUCCUGGAUGUUUCAGGCAACGCCAUCAAGCGAUUGCAAUCGACCAUGCUCUACCCCAUCGCUAUUUUCAUCAAGCCCAAGUCUGUGGAGAAUAUCCUGUAAGUUAUUUUGAUUCAACAAAUUCCUUUUCAUAUUAAGAGGCCAAAGUCUUCUGCCCUACGGGAUGGUGGAUAUUAAGAGGUAAAGACUAUUGCCCUAGGGGAUGGUGGAUAUUAAGAGGUAAAGUCUAUUGCCCUAGGGGAUGGUGGAUAUUAAGAGGUAAAGUCUAUUGCCCUAGGGGAUGGUGGGUAUUAAGAGGCCAAAGUCUAUUGCCCUAGGGGAUGGUGGAUAUUAAGAGGUAAAGUCUAUUGCCCUAGGGGAUGGUGGGUAUUAAGAGGUCAAAGUCUAUUGCCCUAGGGGAUGGUGGAUAUUAAGAGGUAAAGUCUAUUGCCCUAGGGGAUGGUGGGUAUUAAGAGGCCAAAGUCUAUUGCCCUAGGGGAUGGUGGGUAUUAAGAGGCCAAAGUCUAUUGCCCUAGGGGAUGGUGGGUAUUAAGAGGCCAAAGUCUAUUGCCCUAGGGGAUGGUGGGUAUUAAGAGGCCAAAGUCUAUUGCCCUAGGGGAUGGUGGGUAUUAAGAGGCCAAAGUCUAUUGCCCUAGGGGAUGGUGGGUAUUAAGAGGCCAAAGUCUAUUGCCCUAGGGGAUGGUGGGUAUUAAGAGGUCAAAGUCUUCUGCCCUAGGGGAUGGUGGAUAUUAAGAGGUAAAGUCUAUUGCCCUAGGGGAUGGUGGGUAUUAAGAGGUCAAAGUCUUCUGCCCUAGGGGAUGGUGGAUAUUAAGAGGUAAAGUCUAUUGCCCUAGGGGAUGGUGGGUAUUAAGAGGUCAAAGUCUAUUGCCCUAGGGGAUGGUGGAUAUUAAGAGGUAAAGUCUAUUGCCCUAUGGGAUGGUGGGUAUUAAUAGGUCAAAGUCUUCUGCCCUAGGGGAUGGUGGGUAUUAAUAGGUCAAAGUCUUCUGCCCUAGGGGAUGGUGGGUAUUAAUAGGCCAAAGUCUUCUGCCCUAGGGGAUGGUGGGUAUUAAUAGGUCAAAGUCUUCUGCCCUAGGGGAUGGUGGGUAUUAAUAGGCCAAAGUCUUCUGCCCUAGGGGAUGGUGGGUAUUAAUAGGUCAAAGUCUUCUGCCCUAGGGGAUGGUGGGUAUUAAUAGGCCAAAGUCUUCUGCCCUAGGGGAUGGUGGGUAUUAAUAGGCCAAAGUCUUCUGCCCUAGGGGAUGGUGGGUAUUAAUAGGUCAAAGUCUUCUGCCCUAGGGGAUGGUGGGUAUUAAUAGGUCAAAGUCUUCUGCCCUAGGGGAUGGUGGGUAUUAAUAGGCCAAAGUCUUCUGCCCUAGGGGAUGGUGGGUAUUAAUAGGCCAAAGUCUUCUGCCCUAGGGGAUGGUGGGUAUUAAUAGGUCAAAGUCUUCUGCCCUAGGGGAUGGUGGGUAUUAAUAGGUCAAAGUCUUCUGCCCUAGGGGAUGGUGGGUAUUAAUAGGCCAAAGUCUUCUGCCCUAGGGGAUGGUGGGUAUUAAUAGGUCAAAGUCUUCUGCCCUAGGGGAUGGUGGGUAUUAAUAGGUCAAAGUCUUCUGCCCUAGGGGAUGGUGGGUAUUAAUAGGUCAAAGUCUUCUGCCCUAGGGGAUGGUGGGUAUUAAUAGGUCAAAGUCUUCUGCCCUAGGGGAUGGUGGGUAUUAAUAGGCCAAAGUCUUCUGCCCUAGGGGAUGGUGGGUAUUAAUAGGCCAAAGUCUUCUGCCCUAGGGGAUGGUGGGUAUUAAUAGGUCAAAGUCUUCUGCCCUAGGGGAUGGUGGGUAUUAAUAGGUCAAAGUCUUCUGCCCUAGGGGAUGGUGGGUAUUAAUAGGCCAAAGUCUUCUGCCCUAGGGGAUGGUGGGUAUUAAUAGGCCAAAGUCUUCUGCCCUAGGGGAUGGUGGGUAUUAAUAGGCCAAAGUCUUCUGCCCUAGGGGAUGGUGGGUAUUAAUAGGCCAAAGUCUUCUGCCCUAGGGGAUGGUGGGUAUUAAUAGGCCAAAGUCUUCUGCCCUAGGGGAUGGUGGGUAUUAAUAGGCCAAAGUCUUCUGCCCUAGGGGAUGGUGGGUAUUAAUAGGCCAAAGUCUUCUGCCCUAGGGGAUGGUGGGUAUUAAUAGGCCAAAGUCUUCUGCCCUAGGGGAUGGUGGGUAUUAAUAGGUCAAAGUCUUCUGCCCUAGGGGAUGGUGGGUAUUAAUAGGUCAAAGUCUUCUGCCCUAGGGGAUGGUGGAAAGUAUUCAGACCCCUGGACUUUUUCCACAUUUUAUUACGUUACAGCCAUAUUAUAAAAUGCAUUUGUUUUUUUCCUCAUCAAUCUACACACAAUGACCCAUCAUGACAAAGCAAAAACGGGUUAUUAGCCAUUUUUGCUCAUUUCUAAAAAAUAAAACACUGAAAUAUGACAUUUGCAUAAUUAUUCAGACCCUUUAUUCAGUACUUUGUUGAAGCACCUUUGGCAGUGAUUACAGCCUUGAGUCUUCUUGGGUAUGACGCAACAAGCUUGGCACACCUGUAUUUGGGGAGUUUCUCCCAUUCGUAUGUGCAGAUCCUCUCAAGCUCUGUCAGGUUGGAUUGGAAGGGUUGCUGCACAGCUAUUUUCAGGUCUCAAGUCUGGUCUCUGGCUGGACCACUCAAUAACAAUCAGGGACUUGUCCCGAAGCCAUUCGUGCGUAAUCUUGGCUGUGUGCUUAGGGUUGUUGUCCUGUUGGAAAGUGAACCUUUGCCCCAGUCUGAGGUCCUGAGCGCUCUGGAGCAGGUUUUCAUCGAGGAUCUCUCUGUACUUUGCUCCGUUCAUCUCAUCUUUGCCUCAAUCCUGACUAGUCUCCAAGUCCUUGCCCCACAGCAUGAGGCUGCCACCACCAUGCUUCACCUUAGGGAUGGUGCCAGGUUUCUUCCAGACAUGACGUUUGGCAUUCAGGCCAAAGAAUCUUGGUUUUAUCAGACCAGAGAAUCUUGUUUCUUAUGGUCUGAGAGUCUUUAGGUGCCUUUUGGCAAACUCCAAGUGGGCUGUCAUGUGCCUUUUACUGAGGAGUGGCUUCCGUCUGGCCACUCUACCAUAAAGGCCUGAUUGGUAGAGUGCUGCAGAGAUGGUUGUCCUUCUGGAAGGUUCUCCCAUCUCCACAGAGGACCUCUGUAGCGCUGUCUUUUUAGAAUAAAGUUAUAACGUAACAAAAUGUGGAAAAAGUCAAGGAGUCUGAAUACUUUCCAAAGACACUAUAUACACUGUAUACAGGGCAACAUCUUAGUCAUCCUCUCCCUGUCUCUCUCUCCUUCUCGCCCUCUCACUCUCCUCCAUCUCUCGCUCUGUCCCUCUCAUUCUCUUUCUCUCCUGCCUCUCCCUGUCUCUCUCUCCUUCUCGCCCUCUCACUCUCCUCCAUCUCUUGCUUUGUCCCUCUCAUUCUCUCUCUCCCUCUUUCUCUCCUGCCUCUCUCCCUGUCUCUCUCCUCUUUCUCCUUCUCAUACUCUCUUUCUUUCUUUCUCUCUCUCGCCUCUCUCCCUCUUUCUCUCUCCCUCUUUCUUUCUCUCUCUCGCCUCUCUCCCUCUCUCUCUCCUCUAUCUCCUUCUCGCUCUCUUUCUCUCUGUGUCGCUCCCUCUCUCUCUGUCUUUCUCCUUCUCACCCUCUCUCUCUCCCUGUCUCUCCUCUUUCUCCUUCUCAUCCUCUCUUUCUCCCUGUCUCUCCUCUUUCUCCUUCUCAUACUCUCUCCCUCUACUCUCUCACUCUUUCUUUCUCUCUCUCGCCUCUCUCUCUCCUUCUCGCUCUCUUUCUCUCUGUAUCUCUCUCUCUCUCUCUCUAGGGAGAUGAAUAAGAGGCUAACAGAGGACCAGGGGAGGAAGACGUUCGACCGAGCCAUGAAGCUGGAGCAGGAGUUCACUGAGCACUUCACUGCUAUCGUCCAGGGGGACUCUCUGGAGGAGAUUUAUAACGCGGUGAAGAGGAUCAUCGAGGAGCAGUCAGGACCCUUCAUCUGGGUGCCUGCCAAGGACAAGUUGUGAAGGAAGAGAAACAGAAGAGAUGACCUUUUUUUUUGCCGUCCUCGUUUUCUUCUUUGAUUUUACGUCUAAUGUUAUGCCCUGAGCAUAGGACCCCCCCUCCCAUUCACUUAUACCCCCCCGCGCCGCCCUGCUCCCCUCUGUCACACUGGCUGGUGUCGUUACAUUAGUGUCUGGGGAUCUGAUCACGCAUAGACCCACAUACACACACACACAAUUCUUUAAUGCUUUCUCUAUCACACAUUCGCUCUCUCUCUCGCUCACUCUCUCUCACGCUCUCUCUCGCUCGCUCUCUCUUCUCUCUCUCUCGUGUUUUCUUGGGCUGUCCUUGUAUCUGGGUGUUUUUCCUGCUAAGGAGGUACGGGCUUUGGCAACCAGCGUCUUAUGGGGAGAUUUUUAUGGUACAAGUCCUUAAUGUUUAAGGAACAUGAUUUAGAUGCAUAUAUAUACAAAUAAUAAAUCAUUUCUUGUA